rnacentral:lncRNA from 1 species
CAGACGCCCAGCGUGGUCCCCAGCACAUCAGUUCGGCUCUCCCCAGACUCUAAGGGGUUAAAACACGCAUAUCAACAGCAGACCAUUUAUUUCUGAGUCAUCAACACCCGGCCUGAUGCAGGCUCUCUUCUGUGGAAGACGGACAGGAUGCCGAGAGAAAGGUUACCUGCCGUGGACUUUCAUCCCAUUGAGGCUGAGGUGGUUUGAUAGCAGAUCUCCGCAGAAAGAGAAAACUGCUGCGUUUUCUCUCAGGCCCACCUCCCCUAAAUCCGUCUGUUCCUCCAGUUGACAGAAAUCUCAAGCACAUCCCAGAGUUUCACAACUUUCUAUCCACGCCUGGGGUUCAGGUGGCUGUGCCCCUGUCCACGGCCCUCAGAGCCUGCCACUCUCCAUAUCCUUGCCUGACCCCUCACAGGGGUUCGGGUGGCUGCGCUGCUG